CUGAGAGAAGUCUCUCGCAUCUCACUUUAGGGAAGCUCCGCGUUUACACUGGAACGCCGGCAUUCCACAAGAUAAAACGAAACCCUCAAUUCCUCAGGAGUCCCGCCUCCAAAAGAGCGCCUGGGAGGCCUGCGCAGUACAGAUAUACCUACUGAGAAGACAGCAGACUUACUUUCAUCAUCUGAAUCAAAUCCAAAGAGGGUCUGACAUUUCUUUUGUGCAAGAUGAGACUAGCUAACAAGAUGGAAAUCAAAGCUACUGAGUAGAAUUUACAGCAAGAUGUUUUUGGCAUACCCCAGAGACACCCCAUUCCUGCUACAUGGAC